GGUUAAGUGACUAAGCGUACACGGUGGAUGCCUUGGCAGUCAGAGGCGAUGAAAGACGUAGUAACUUGCGAUAAGCCCAGAUUAGGUAGUAACAACCAUUUGAGUCUGGGAUUUCUGAAUGGGGAAACCCACUUACAUAAGUAAGUAUCAUUAACUGAAUACAUAGGUUAAUGAGGCGAACCGGGGGAACUGAAACAUCUAAGUACCCCGAGGAAAAGAAAUCAACCGAGAUUCCGAAAGUAGCGGCGAGCGAAAUUGGACUAGCCCUUAAGCUUUACACGCGUUAGACGAACGGUCUGGAAAGUCCGACGAUACAGGGUGAUAGUCCCGUAGUUGACGACGUGUGUUCAGUGAAAUCGAGUAGGGCGGGACACGUGAUAUCCUGUCUGAAUAUGGGGGGACCAUCCUCCAAGGCUAAAUACUACUGACUGACCGAUAGUGAACCAGUACCGUGAGGGAAAGGCGAAAAGAACCCCUGUGAGGGGAGUGAAAUAGAACCUGAAACCGUGUACGUACAAGCAGUAGGAGCAGGCUUUGUCCUGUGACUGCGUACCUUUUGUAUAAUGGGUCAGCGACUUAUAUUCAGUGGCAAGGUUAACCAUCUAGGGGAGCCGUAGGGAAACCGAGUCUUAACUGGGCGUUCAGUCUCUGGAUAUAGACCCGAAACCAGGUGAUCUAGCCAUGGGCAGGUUGAAGGUUGAGUAACAUCAACUGGAGGACCGAACCGACUAAUGUUGAAAAAUUAGCGGAUGACUUGUGGCUAGGGGUGAAAGGCCAAUCAAACCUGGAGAUAGCUGGUUCUCCCCGAAAGCUAUUUAGGUAGCGCCUCGGACGAAUACUACUGGGGGUAGAGCACUGUUAAGGCUAGGGGGUCAUCCCGACUUACCAACCCUUUGCAAACUCCGAAUACCAGUAAGUACUAUCCGGGAGACACACGGCGGGUGCUAACGUCCGUCGUGGAGAGGGAAACAACCCAGACCGCCAGCUAAGGUCCCAAAUUACUACUAAGUGGGAAACGAUGUGGGAAGGCUCAGACAGCCAGGAUGUUGGCUUAGAAGCAGCCAUCAUUUAAAGAAAGCGUAAUAGCUCACUGGUCGAGUCGGCCUGCGCGGAAGAUGUAACGGGGCUAAGUAGUAAACCGAAGCUGCGGCAAUAUACUUUUGUAUAUUGGGUAGGGGAGCGUUCUGUAAGCGGUUGAAGGUGUGUGGUAACGCAUGCUGGACGUAUCAGAAGUGCGAAUGCUGACAUGAGUAACGAUAAAGGGGGUGAAAAACCUCCUCGCCGGAAGACCAAGGGUUCCUGUCCAACGUUAAUCGGGGCAGGGUAAGUCGACCCCUAAGGCGAGGCCGAAAGGCGUAGUCGAUGGGAAACGGGUUAAUAUUCCCGUACUUCUUACAAUUGCGAUGGGGGGACGGAGAAGGCUAGGUGGGCCUGGCGACGGUUGUCCAGGUUCAAGUGCGUAGGCUUAAGAGUUAGGUAAAUCCGGCUCUUUUUAAGGCUGAGACACGACGUCGAGCAUCUACGGAUGUGAAGUCAUUGAUGCCAUGCUUCCAGGAAAAGCCUCUAAGCUUCAGAUUGUAAGGAAUCGUACCCCAAACCGACACAGGUGGUCGGGUAGAGAAUACCAAGGCGCUUGAGAGAACUCGGGUGAAGGAACUAGGCAAAAUGGUACCGUAACUUCGGGAGAAGGUACGCUCUCGACGGUGAAGUCCCUCGCGGAUGGAGCUAUUGAGAGUCGCAGAUACCAGGUGGCUGCAACUGUUUAUUAAAAACACAGCACUGUGCAAAAUCGUAAGAUGACGUAUACGGUGUGACGCCUGCCCGGUGCCGGAAGGUUAAUUGAUGGGGUUAGACUUCGGUCGAAGCUCUUGAUCGAAGCCCCGGUAAACGGCGGCCGUAACUAUAACGGUCCUAAGGUAGCGAAAUUCCUUGUCGGGUAAGUUCCGACCUGCACGAAUGGCGUAAUGAUGGCCACGCUGUCUCCACCCGAGACUCAGUGAAAUUGAAAUCGCUGUGAAGAUGCAGUGUACCCGCGGCUAGACGGAAAGACCCCGUGAACCUUUACUACAGCUUGGCACUGAACAUUGACCCUACAUGUGUAGGAUAGGUGGGAGGCUUUGAAGCAGGUACGCCAGUAUCUGUGGAGCCGUCCUUGAAAUACCACCCUUGUAGUGUUGAUGUUCUAACGUCGACCCCUUAUCGGGGUUGCGGACAGUGCCUGGUGGGUAGUUUGACUGGGGCGGUCUCCUCCCAAAGAGUAACGGAGGAGCACGAAGGUGGGCUAAUCACGGUUGGACAUCGUGAGGUUAGUGCAAUGGCAUAAGCCCGCUUGACUGCGAGAAUGACAAUUCGAGCAGGUGCGAAAGCAGGUCAUAGUGAUCCGGUGGUUCUGAAUGGAAGGGCCAUCGCUCAACGGAUAAAAGGUACUCCGGGGAUAACAGGCUGAUACCGCCCAAGAGUUCAUAUCGACGGCGGUGUUUGGCACCUCGAUGUCGGCUCAUCACAUCCUGGGGCUGAAGUCGGUCCCAAGGGUAUGGCUGUUCGCCAUUUAAAGUGGUACGCGAGCUGGGUUUAGAACGUCGUGAGACAGUUCGGUCCCUAUCUGCCGUGGGCGUUGGAAGAUUGAAGGGGGCUGCUCCUAGUACGAGAGGACCGGAGUGGACGAACCUCUGGUGUUCGGGUUGUGUCGCCAGACGCAUUGCCCGGUAGCUAAGUUCGGAAUCGAUAACCGCUGAAAGCAUCUAAGCGGGAAGCGAGCCCUGAGAUGAGUCUUCCCUGAUACUUUAAGUAUCCUAAAGGGUUGUCGGAGACUACGACGUUGAUAGGUCAGGUGUGUAAGUGCUGUGAGGCAUUGAGCUAACUGAUACUAAUUGCCCGUGAGGCUUAACCAU
rnacentral:rRNA from 1 species